AUUGAACGCUGGCGGCAGGCCUAACACAUGCAAGUCGAGCGGAUGAAGGGAGCUUGCUCCUGGAUUCAGCGGCGGACGGGUGAGUAAUGCCUAGGAAUCUGCCUGGUAGUGGGGGAUAACGUCCGGAAACGGGCGCUAAUACCGCAUACGUCCUGAGGGAGAAAGUGGGGGAUCUUCGGACCUCACGCUAUCAGAUGAGCCUAGGUCGGAUUAGCUAGUUGGUGGGGUAAAGGCCUACCAAGGCGACGAUCCGUAACUGGUCUGAGAGGAUGAUCAGUCACACUGGAACUGAGACACGCUCCAGACUCCUACGGGAGGCAGCAGUGGGGAACAUUGGACAAUGGGCGAAAGCCUGACCCAGCCAUGCCGCGUGUGUGAAGAAGGUCUUCGGAUUGUAAAGCACUUUAAGUUGGGAGGAAGGGCAGUAAGUUAAUACCUUGCUGUUUUGACGUUACCAACAGAAUAAGCACCGGCUAACUUCGUG
rnacentral:rRNA from 1 species